CCUAUGCGGGUGGUGCCCCAGACAGGUGAAGGGCGUGGCUUGUCCUACGAAUGGCGCCUGGAAGUGGAGUGGGACAACACAAACUUCGGGUCCGCGGCUUCUGCUUCCUGCUGGCUCACCGACAUCCUCCCAAGUGCACAGUGAUGGGUGAAAACCCUGUUUGAAGCUGAUCCACCAUGCCAUUAGUAACAAGAAAUAUCGAGCCAAGGCACCUGUGCCGCCAGACAUUGCCCAGUGUUCGGAAUGAGCUGGAAUGUGCGACCAACAUCACCCUGUCAAAUGUCAUUCGACAGCUGGGCAGCUUGAGUAAAUUUGCAGAGGACAUAUUUAGAGAGCUGGUUACACAAGCAACCACAUAUGCUGUUCGGGUCACCUCUUUAGUUGAGAGAGUUGAUCGCCUUCAGGUGAAAGUUACUCAGUUGGAUCCCAAGGAGGAAGAAGUGUCCUUGCAAGGUAUUAAUACCAGGAAAGCCUUUAAGAGCUCCACAACUCAGGACCAAAAGCUCUUUGAGAGAGAAUCUGCCCCCCUGCCUGUCCUUGAAACAUACAGCACUUGUAAUAAACCGCCCCCUCUUAACAUUCUAUCCUCAUACAGGGACGAUGGCAAAGAAGCACUUAAAUUCUACACUGAUCCAUCAUAUUUCUUUGAUCUUUGGAAGGAGAAAAUGCUGCAGGAUACCAAGGAUAUUAUGAAAGAGAGACGGAAGCAUAGGAAAGAAAAGAAGGAUAAUCCUAACAGAGGAAAUGUAAACCCUCGGAAGAUAAAAAGCCGAAAAGAAGAAUGGGAAAAAAUGAAAAUGGGUCAAGAGUUUGUCGAUACAAGAGAAAAACAUGGACUGGGAGGGUACCCUCCUAACAUGGUGUAUCAGAAUGGUAGCAUUGGUUCCAAUGAGAGUGUUGAUGCUGCCUACUAUCCACCUCCUCCACAGCCAGAAUCUGUUUCACCAUCCCCUCCUCCAUUGUCAGAUGAUAGUCUUCCGCCUCCACCAGCAGAAUUUAGCUAUCCACCUAGCCAGAGUGUUUCUGGAGGGCUGAAGAAAUCCAUCCUUGUCAGCCCCAGCCAUCCUCCACCAGAUCCUCCUAUUAGCUCACCCCCGGGAACCAGACCUGGCUUUGCUCCACCUCCUGCUCCACCACCUCCACCACCGAUGGAGGGAGUUCCUCCACCCCCUCCACUUGCUGGCUUCCAAGCUGCUGUCAUUCCUCCUCCACCAUCUCCACCCUCCUUCCCGCCUCACCCUGACUUUGCUGCCCCUCCGCCCCCUCCUCCUCCAGCAGCAGAAUAUGCCGUUGUGCCAUCUCCCCUGCUGCCACAGCCCACAAGUGGGGUGCCACCCCCUCCCCCUCCUCCCCCUCCCCCUGGCCCAUCUGCUUCAUCUUUUGGUGGCGUGGGUAUUCCAGAGGCUUCUAUCCAACAACCCGAUUUGGUGCCCUCCAAGCCAAAAUCCUCGUUGCCUGCUGUUAGUGAAGCUAGGAGUGACUUGCUUUCUGCUAUUCGUCAAGGAUUCCAGCUCCGUAAAGUUGAAGAAGAACGUGAACAAGAGAAGCGAGAUGUUGUGGGCAAUGAUGUUGCAACCAUCCUCUCACGCCGCAUUGCAGUAGAAUACAGCGAUUCAGAGGAUGAUUCCUCAGAGUUCGAUGAAGACGAGUGGUCUGAUUAACCCCCCCGCCCUGCACAUCCCCAAUUUGGGGACGGAGGCGGAUAAGAUGGAGAGAGAAUGGCCAUCACUUCCCAGAAUGCCAAACUUUUUUUUUUUUUUUGGCUUUCCUCUUUUUAUCCAAUAACCAAAGAUUGAUCUUCCAGGCUUCCAAAUAACUGCUUUCCCUCCCAGUUGAUGGGACUUACACAUCCUUCCAAGAAAGAAGGAAAAUGAACCCUAGAUUUCCAGAUUCUCAGGUUACUAUGAAAAUAUAUAUAUAUAUUGUUAAAGAUUUUCUUUGGUUUAGGACUAAAUUUGCAGCUCCUGGCACAACCAGGAAGUGUUGCUUAAAAUGACAGGCAACCAACUUGCAAGUAAUACUAAUUUCCUUUGCAACAGUUAUGUGAGGCAUUGGAAACACUGUAGUAAGCUGGUGAUUCACCUUCUUUGUCCCUCCAUUAGGGUGUAAUUUUACAUUUCUGCUCUCACCAGCCCUAACAAUACUUUCUUUAUGCUAAAUUUGGAAUGUAUUAAUUUAGGUUGGAGUUUAAAAAACACUGUACCGUGUACACAACAGGAUCAUCUAAAAAAAUUUUUUUAUCUCUUUCCCCCCUCAGUGCCUGUUAAAUCAUAGAAUGAGCCAGGGAACUACUUAACCCAUAGUACCACUUAAGUUUUUAUAAUGAAGAUGGAAUUUAUGCAAAAUUAGGAAGAAUUUCCCUCCGUGUGUCUUGAAUACAAGAGCUUUAAGCGCUGGAUGUGGUCUUGCUUUGCGAUCAAAAGAUUUGCAGAUUCUCAGUUCAGUAGAAGGUCCUACAUGAAUCAACUUAGCUGUAAGAGUUCUUUUUUUUUUUUAAAUCACAUUAUGCUAAAAGCUGAGAUGUGAUUAAAUUAAGCCUAUGACCCUUCUCUAGUCACCACAUGGGAGUUUUCAUGGACCAACUUGGCCAUAUGCAAUAUAUGCCCAGUCUUCCUUAUUAUUUUCCUUAUAUAUUUCUUUCUUUCUAGCAAACAUUUAUACAAAUAGCUUUUGCGGGGGAUUUUCUUCGCCAAGAACUAGUAUACAGAAUGUCAAAGGGCAGGCCCCUAAAUUUAUCCAGGCAUCCCACUUACUGGAACAAUGCUAUCACUUUAAUCAGAGUGAUGGUUUGAAUAGGGAACAUGCCUACCUAUUUAUUGGUUUGAAAAUCUUUGCCUUGCCAUAUGCUCUGCUGUUCUUUUCUCACUAGGAUGUGCCUUGUAACAGCUUCUAUAUCCCAAAGAGUAUUGUUUUCUUGCUUUUAUCCUUACAGACCUUUAUUUCAAGUCCCUCUUUUGUUUUGAAUUUCUGGUUCCAUAGCUAUAUAGCAGAGCUUUUCUUUAGCCAAAGGGAAGGACCAAACUUUCAGAAGUAGGUAGAAAAUUUAAACUAUCCUGAAAAAAUUCAUUUAGUUGGUGGUUUCCUUUGUGGCACUGAACAGCUUUGAGCAUCUGAUUAGAGUGCGUAAAGGAUAGGCUGAUGGGUAGUUUGCUCAUGAAUUAUAAAACCUUUCAAAACACUCUAUAAUAUAAUUUCAAGAAUGACCCUAAGGCUCAUUAGUAACCCAGAAUUAACAUUCAAGUACUAAGAGUAGUGGCCAGCUUAGAAAGGAAUGACAGAACUUAGCCUUCUUUUUGAUUUGCCUGGUGUUUCAUACACGGCAAAGCCUUUAACUUUGUGUGACUGUGCGUACUAAAUCUUUGUGAAUGGCUUCCUUCUAAUGGAAGCCACAAGAACAUAAAAAGGCCUUCAGGUGUGCAUUCAGAAUGACAACGGUUACCCACACAUGGUGCCAAGAAAACUAUAUGGCUGUGCCAAUGGAAUUAGAAAGCCUCUAUUUCGUAUGACUCUUUUCCUAGCUGUCCCCAUAAAUGAUUUUUGUGCAGAUUGACUUUAUCAGUUUAUAAUCAAUGUGCUGCAUAAGGAUAAUGGGCAUUCUUAACGUAACGUUUAAACAGGUUUGACCUAAGGUUAACGUCUAAAAGUUUGAAAAAGGUGCUAAUUCUAUGUUCCUUGAGAGGUGGGUGUCCUGUACAGAGAGAGUGAUUUAUCUUGCCAGCUUUUCACAACCUGAUGCCUCUCACUUACAGCUUUUAAAUUGCUUGUCUGUGUUGACUAACAAUUGAAAACACAGACACUCAAACAUAUCCACAAAUUCUGAAGCUAGGGUUGAGUUCGGAUGCUAGUUAGUAAAAAGGUUGAAGUUAACUCCUCAAUUGAAAUCCCUCUUACUGCUUUUUUGCACUUUUAAGAUGUCAGACAACCUGCCGGAAAACAAUAAGUUGUUACAUUGAACAUCAUGUUCAAUAGAACAACCCUGAAAAAAUCAUUUGAGAAACAGAAAACCAGUCAAACACCUCACUUAGCCAGUUGGGCCCCAAUUAUCAGCCAGGUCAUGGAAUCCUUAGGUGCUGAAUGGCAACCGCCUCUCCUACUGCUCCAGUUUUAAACAGAUCUUCUCCCUGAAUUAAAAUGAAUGAAAUUGUCUCUUUGAGACAUUCAUGCUUGGUGUGAAGCAUCAAAAUAGAUUUGAUUCCAUCUCCAAAAGAUGGCUUUAGUGUCGCUAUUCUGAUUUUAGAAUAGUUAAUUGAACUUAAUUGAAGGCGUUAGUUAAUUGAACUUAAUUGAAGAUGCUGUACAGAUUUCAUUCUCUGAGUUAGUUGGAGUACUUCAGGUUUUCUUACAGCAAAUAAUCAGCAGGAACAGCUGCUUGGUUCAAUGGAAAGAAUAGGGAGGAGAAGAAAUUCUACUAGAACAAUAGUGCUAUUGCUUGAUUUCUACAGAAAGCCCACCCAUUAUUUUGUUUCCUUUUUUUUUUAACUUUUGCAUCACAUCAUCUGAGUAAAUUAGUUUUUCAAAUUUCUUUCUUUAAAAUAUAUAUACAUAUAUUUUAAGUUCUAGAUUGUGCCGCUGGGUCUAAAACCUUUUUCUGCAAUGCUGGGUCCAAAAUGUUUUCUACAGUCUUUGAAGAUCAGCUUCUUCCCUUCUCCAUCAUAGUUGACCACAUUAUGAGGAAGGACCCUUCAAAAUCUCAAGAAGUCGCAAAGCUUUGUGAAGCAGGCAUUUGGGCAGAGAGAGACUUAAAAUAGGCCGCCUGGAUCACACAGCUGGGCAGAAGAGUACUGUGUCCUUUUACCAGACUGCCCAUACUACAGAAACUGUGGGGCCUCCUCUGCUUGAUUUCCUUUAUAUGUAUUUUGGGAGGGAGAGAGUGACUUUUUCUUUCCUUAUUGCACCUUUUAACAUGAUUCAGUUUAAUUGAUUUUAAAAACUAACAAUGUUUAUUAUGUAGAAUAAGUUGACUUCUAUAAGUGCCUUAUUUCAUAAAAUAUAUUUAUGUAAGAGUAAUUAUUUCAAAUGUAUCAUAGGUCAUACCUGAACAGAAAUAUGGAAUGUUGAAGAAAGUCUUCUUUUAACCAAGUUUUCUAAAUGGUCAGUUUGUAAGAAAGAGAUCAAUAGAUUAUGCCUUAAUUAACUGCCGGAGGAAAUGGUUAUGGAUGCAGUUGAUGGUUUUAUCAGUAGAGACCAAGAGCAUAAACAUGUUUCAGAAUAUCAGGCAACAGCCAGCAGUAUGUGAUUCUAGGUGUUUGUCAGUGUAUCCAUGCACACUUGGUGCAAAUGAGUGACCAUUCCAUGAUAUGCUGAAAGUCUGCUUUACUGUAAACUCGGCUGUUGUGAGAAUUGGCUUUUGGAAUGAAUUCAAAAGUCCUUAAACCUAAAGCAAAAAGUGCUAUAGUGACCUCAACCAUGUCUAUGCUAGAGGCCAGUGAUCAUCAGGGUGUUCCAGUACAGCCUGAUGAUCAGUACCAAAUUCUGUCUGGCAGGUCUUGGGUGAAGAGGGAGCAGCACAAUGGAGACUGGAAUUGUUGCUUCUCUUCCAUGCUCUCAUGCAGAGUUUGGCUCUCCAUAUUAAUUUUACUGUCCCUAGUUGCCAUUUUUAAUCCAAAUCUUUUAAAAACUACUUUUAUAACUUCUCUAGUUUUGUCUACCUUUCCUUGAGGGACUCCUUGUAAAGUAUAUGUGAUUAAAACAAAACUUUUUACCAUAUAAACUUUAAAGAAAUGAGAAUCCUUUCUAGCCAUUGUGUUAUGUUUAGGGUUGGAUGAAUUGGUCACUUUCUCUAACACUUGGUUAUAACCUGUUACUGCCAUUCACACAAGAUCAUUUUUUCUUGCCUAUAUUUCCUGGUGUGUGUACAACUUACAAGUCUGAAUGUAUAUGUGCUUUUUGUACACCCUCUCCCUCACCCCUACACAUUGUUAACACAGGUGAGAAUUUCACUGGAAAAUUCAGUGCAGCUCAAGGAGUGCAGGAUAACAGUUCCAGUUUAUAGGAGUGAAAAAUAUCAUUUAGUAUUGCCUUGCAAAACUUGGUCCCGCUGCUAUUCCUAAUUUUCACCUUCUUUUAAAGGCACUUUUUACCUGCUGCCCUAAAGAUCAGAAGUUACAAUAAUGGUACAGAUGAAUAUUUGUGUGGUGUUUGGCAGCUCUUUUGGUAUCCUUACAUUCCACUUUGGAUGUGCGUGGCUUAGUGGUUCUGGAUACCUCAAUCCACAAACCCUUUGCCCUGGUUUAAAACAUUUGGAAACAUUGAUAAGCUUUCUGGAUAGUCUAUUUGUAUGGCAGAGAUCCUUGAUUUUAGAAAACCACAAAGGUAGAUGGAAGUGUGCAGGAUAAAUAGGGAUCUGGGCCUUUAGUGGGGUUAUAAAAAAGUCUUUUCCUUGAGAGAAUAUAAUGCUAAGUAUUCAUUUUGUUCUAAAGAUAUUGAAAGGAAUUGCCCAAUAGCUUCCAGUUUUUCUCUCCUGACCACAGAUCAUCAUGUAUUCGCAACUUACUGCAAAUUCUUUUGGAGACUCUACUAUAUGUGAAUUUGAUAAGAAUUAUAUGUUCAAAUAUUCUUGCAUAUUGUCACAAGGAUAAAUAAAGAACCUCACUGAUUUUUUUUCCCUGCCAGAAGAAAACAAAUACAUUUUUAGGUGAGUGAAGUUCAUUAGACCUGGGGAUAAACGCAGCUUAAGAUGUAGAAACUCUAGAAGACUUCUUGAUGCCGCAAAUAGAAGCUGAGCAUAUCCUGGAAAUUAUAACUUCAAGUUCUAGUUUUCUGCCUCAGCCCUACACUUUACAACCAUAAUUGAGUCUGGCAAUUAAGGUGAUGUCAUGACAGUUGUAAAGUGGGUCAUUAUGUGAUUGACUCGAUUUUGUGAACUUUUUGGGUGGUUAAGUAAAUUGUCCAGGAUAAGCGAGUGCUGCAAUUCAGUGAAUGCCAUGAUCAUUAAUCUUGUUAUUCGCUGUAGGCCAGUUUCUGGCAAAAUGUAAGUCGCAGUCUCAUCAUGCUGAAAAUGGUCGUAAUUGUGGGACAGUUGCAGAGUGCCCAAGUGAAGUCACGUGACUGUAGGAACUUUAGAACCUGGUGAUAAAUAGCUUUGGAGGGUCUAUCAAACUUGGCAACUUUAAGACUUGUGGACUUCAACUCCCAGAAUUCUGACUGGAGAAUUCUGGGAGUUGAAGUCCACAAGUCUUAAAAUUGCCAAGUUUGGGGACCCCUGGUCUAUCAAACUUACAAUGGUCAUUAAGUAACUGGUUGGAAGUUGAGUACUACUUGCAUUAGAAUUGUUUUCUGCAUGUUGUUUCCAUUUAGACUGAGAUUCUUCAUGCCCUGUCCCAGUGUUUU